rnacentral:lncRNA from 1 species
UUUUCUUAGACCUUUAGUCAUAGUUGGCUACACAUGGCUAACCAAGGCUACGUUUGAGCGACUUCCCCUGGUAUCGCUACAUAUUUCAGAGGCCAGCAAAACACAUUUUUUGACUAAUGCUGUCAGCGUUGAACCCACCGCUAACUAAAAAUGUCCUCCAAUGGGGUUUUUGAUCCUUGACGUCUUAUUGUUUGGUCCUCUUCAGAGCCGUUGGAGCCUUUCAAGAGAUACACCCUCACUCUGCACACGCGAACAAACAAUGAAACUUGUAACAUGGUUCAUAUCAACAACAGCGAGAGCACCUACGGGAGCAAACCAUUCUAUUUCAUUGAAGGGUCACCUGUCAGUGCUCCUACAAACGUCAGCGUCUCAAAUGUGACGCUGACCUCGGCGCUGCUGUUCUGGACUUCCAUCCCAGAGGAAGACACCAGAGGUUUCCUGCUUGGUUACAUAAUCUAUUAUAAGAAGUACGACCACAAAAAGACCAGCACUGAAAACAACGUCACCGUGGAUCCGUCCCUGAAUGUCUAUGAACUGGAAAAUCUCCAAAGUGGGACACCGUACCAAGUCCAGAUAUCGGGUUUCACUUCUGGAGGAACCGGAGUUCGAAGCACAGCAAGCUUCUUUAAGACAAACCUUAAAGCAAAUGUUCACAUCGGAGGUAUCAUCGGAGUCUUUGCAUUUGUUAUUCUUGUGACGUUUGGAUCCCCACUCAUAAAAAGAGCAAAGACGGUCCUGUGGCCGAGUAUUCCCAACCCUGGAAACAGCGAUACGAUGCAGAAAAUCUUUGAACAGGCACAUCUUGAGGCUAUUGGUACGCUAACGGUUGAGGAAUGGCACUCAGGAAUUCUCCAGGUUCUCCAACGUUCUGAUAUAGAAGAUCACACUGAAGCAUCAUGUAGUGGAAACCAAGAGGAAGCUGAGAACGUGACUGGAGAAGAGUCACGUGAAGACAAUGGUGAUGUUUUCUUCCUGGAUACCAAACAGACAAAUGUCCAAAGUUCUACAUGUGCCUUGGUGAGUGGAUACACCACAAUGGAGAUGUUUCAGCAGGGCAUGAGUACGAUCCCCACAGAGAGAACACAGCAUUUUCAGAGCAAAGCAGAACACGACGAGUCCUCUGGGUCCAAGCAGAGACUGGACUACGUCAGACAGUUCAGUGAAAAGUCCACAGUCCAGUGA